rnacentral:rRNA from 1 species
AACGUAGGAGACAAACGUUAUCCGGAGUUGCUGGGCGUAAAGGGCGUGUAGGUGGUUAUGUAAGUCUGGCGUGAAAUUUUUCGGCUUAACCGGGAAAGGUCGUCGGAUACUGCACAACUAGAGGACGGUAGAGGCGUGUGGAAUUCCGGGUGUAGUGGUGAAAUGCGUAGAGAUCCGGAGGAACACCAGUGGCGAAGGCGACACGCUGGGCCGUACCUGACACUGAUGCGCGACAGCAUGGGGAGCAAACAGG